ensembl:lncRNA
GGAAACAACUCGCUCUGCACUGCUGUUUUACAGCCUAAGGGAACAUGUCUUACAAAGGCCUGUGAAACGCAGUUUCUUCCCAGGCCUGAUCUCGCUGAAGUAGAACUUCUGCUCUGCCGUGUCCUAUGUGGCCCUAGAGCUGCAAGUAACACAGUCCUGCCUUGUCUUCUCAAGGGCAGAUAUGUUCCUCAGCCUCCAGCUUCCAGCACUUUUGGCAGCUAAGAAACAAGUCGCUCUGCACUACUGUUUUACAGCCUACCGGGAACAUGUCUUACAAAGGCCUGUGAAACGCAGUUUCUUCCCAGGCCUGAUCUCGCUGAAGUAGAACUUCUGCUCUGCCGUGUCCUACAUGGGCCUAGAGCUGCAAGGCACAAGGUCCUGCCUUGUUUCCACAAGGGGAGAGAACUCCCUCAGCGUCCAGCUUCCAGCUCUUUGGGCAGCUAAGAAACAACUAGCUCUGCAUAGGGCUCUUUUAGCCUACCGGGAACAUGUCUUACAAAGGCCUGUGAAACGCAGUUUCUUCCCAGGCCUGAUCUGGCUGAAGUAGAACUUCUGCUCUGGGUGUGCUCCAUUGGCCUAGAGUUGCCUGGCCCAAAGCUCUGCCUUGUUUGCAAAGGGGCAGAGAGGCCCCAAAGCAUCUUGCUUCCAGCUCUUUGGGAAGCUAAGAAACAACUCGCUCUGCACAGUGCUCUUACAGCCUACCGGGAACAUCUCUUGCAAUGGCCUGUGAAAUGCAGUUUCUUGGCAGGCCUGAUCUGGCUGAUGUCGAUCUUCUGCUGUGCCGUGUGCUACAUUGCCCUAGAGCUCCAAGGCACAAAGUCCUGCCUUGUUUGCUCAUGGGGAGAUAGGCCCCAAAGCAUCUUGCUUCCAGCUCUUUGGGAUUCUAAGAAACAACUCACUCUCCACAGUGCUCUUACAGCCUACCAGGAACAUCUCCUACAAAGGCCUGUGAAACGCAGUUUCUUUCCAGCCCUGAUCUUGCUGCGUUAAAACUUUUGCUCUGAGCCGCGUCUUGGCAGAUAUUCGAGGAGUCUUAUUUACUCUCCUUAUGGAUGAGGAAAAGUCAGCUGUUCUAUUAAAUGCUAGAGAAGAAGCAUAUUAUGAAUAUGACCCAAUAUCAGCCAUUGGCAGACUUAGUGAACAGCCUCUGCCAGAGACCGAUGCUGUGUGAAUCCCAGUGAUCCUGAUGAUCAUGAAGAGGAAGACAAGAAGAUGAAAAAGCAAGCCACCCUGUUUUGUGUGGCCCUUCAAGUCUGUUCAAGGUAACCUGAGGAAGAGAAGGAGUGAGUGACCUCAGCCUCCAACCAGUGACCAGAAAGCCACCAACAAAUUUUGGUGUGUGUACUGCAAACUGGAAGGGCAUUGGCAGCAGGACUGUCCCAACCAUCGCCUGAGAGUUAAGAGAUUGAACAGGGUCAAGCCACGGCAUCUUCUCUUGACCACGGAUGAGAUGUGACAGGGCCAUGUGGCUCCCCAGUUGGCUCUAGGGGUGACCUUGGCAGUAGGAGGAGAACAUGUUAAAAUUUUUGGUCAAUACUGGAGCCACAUUCUCGGUGCUGAAUACCAAAAAGAGAAACCUUUCAAAAAGUUAAAGAUGUAGCCUCAAAGGUGUAUCAGGCAAAGGGGAGACCAAAAGUUUUCUGGAGCCCCUUGACCUAUGAAACAGGAUAAAAAGUACUUAAGCGUUUCUUUCUGUAUGUACCAGAAUGCCUUGUUCCCCCUCUAGGGAGGGACAGGCUAUCUAAGCUAGGGGCCUCAAUAAGCUGGGGAAAAGAUAAAGUAGAGAUCCAAGAUCCCAAAAAUUUGGGAAUUGGGCUUAUGGCCCUAUUACAGGAUACACCAGCACCUGAGAAGGAAGAGAUUCCACUAAAUAUUUUAAGUUAAGCUAACUCAGAAUUAUAGGCACAAGGACAGGUGGAGUGAGCAGCCAGUGCCAUGUCAGUAAAGGUAAAACUGAAGCAGGCAGUUUGCUGGCCCCGGGUAAGACAAUACCCCCCCGAAGCCAGAAGCCAUAAAGAUGAAUCUUUCUUGUAAUCAAUACGUUUUUAGAACUGGGGAAUGUAGGUUUGUUCAAGACCGUAGUGCUGUCAAUGCUGUACAGUACUGGAUUUAUAAUAGUAAAUAUCCUUUUUGUUUCUGGCACAGAGAUCCAAAAACUCUUGUAAUUUCCCACAUAAGAGCCAUAGAGUCAUAUUUUGUUAUAAUAAUUACUUUAGUCCUCAGUUCCUGAAAUUACUCCAGAGCAAUAAAGGGGAAAGAGCUGUCUUUUGUUAUUCCUAACAAGACCCUUUCAACCACAUUGAAUUUAUGUUAAUAAGGUGACAUUUGGAAAGCCCCUAAGGGUGGAGGCUGGUGUGUGGGAAAAUAGGGAAAGCUAUUUUGUGAUUCAGGGUUGGGAUUUUCAGCCCCAUCCCCCUCUCCAUAGGUCCAGGAUGAGGAGAGGGCUGAAGAUUGAGUUCGAUUGUCAAAGGCCAAUGACGUAAUCAACUGUGCCUAUGUAGGGGGGUCUCCAUUAAUAUCCAAAGGGAUGGGCUUCAGAGAGCUUCUGGGUUGGUAAACACCCAGGGAGAUUUGGGGAGAGUGGCAUGCCCAGAGAGGGUCUGGGAGCUCCAUGUCCUUGCCCCACGUAUUUUAC